ensembl:lincRNA Meg3 maternally expressed 3
GACUUUUGGUAAAUCACCUUUUGCCGUUUCCUUUGUCCCCGUGAAGCCCCCCCUGGCCGCCCCCUCCUCAUUCUGGGCUGGCUGGCUGAGGGGGGGCAGCCUGAGGGCUGCGACGUGGCAGGUUUCUAGAAUGUUCUAUUGAUGGCCGCAAGAGGGCGCUGGUGGCACUGCGGAAUUUUGGGGGGCGGGGUGGGGAGGGAAGAGGAGGUGGCCUUUGUUCUCCUGCAGGAGGGGGUCGGGAGCGAGAUGGGUUGCGGGACCAUGGGUUCAUUUACCUAUGGGGAAAUGUUAGUAGAUACCUGGAUUCACUAAGGUGCGCUUGCAGGACUUACAAUAGGUCAGAGAUGGCGUCAUCUGCAGUGGCUGUGUGAUUUAGGGUGUCAUGGACGCAGAUUAAUUUAUUUUCAGUGAUUUGUGUUUUCUGGGGUCUUAGAAAGGUGUGGCUUUUUGAGGAAGAAUUGCAAAAAAUAUUAAUUAAUUAGGCGUCAUCCAUAAGGGUCUUGAGAGUUGACGUGGCAAAGGGGGGGCAAGGUUUUGAGGAGAAGGGUGUUAAUUGGGUGGGGGGAGGCAGGGUGGUCUGCCUUUAUUUUGUCAUAUAGCUGAAGACCUCAAAAAUGAGUGUUCUGUAUUAAGAAUUGAGUCUUUAAAUUUUAAUUAUGCUUAAUUGGAUUUACUAAUGGUGGGUGGGGGCAGCGUCCUGCUUUUACUUAUCAGGAGUAGAAUUGUGGUCUGGGGGCAGCCCCUUACUGCAGGGUCUCUUUGGUGCAAGGCGGCUCCUGGAUGCCUGUGUGUGUGCUGCGUCAUGUCUGGAAAAUGGCUCAGGCAGAGGCGAUGGGGGUGCAUAGCGACCCUUAAAGAUGGCUGAUGUGGGCUCUGCCCCCCCCCAAGCCUGAAACCUGUUGGGCGCCCUCCCCCCUCCUACGUCAGUCUAGCUCUAGCAGCUGCGUCCUGGCGCCUGUGGGGGCGCCUCAGGUGGUUGGGCUAUUGGAGUCUUAGUGAGUGCGGGCCGCGCGCCCCCUAGCGGUCUCUAUGUGCAAAUGGUUCUUGGCCUGCCAGACUAGCGCUAGAGUUGCGCAUGCGCACACAGCUAACACUUGUGACCUGUCAAUCAAUUCAUCUGUACCCCUCCCAUUGCUGUCCUCCCCUCCCAUUUCUCCUCCUACUUCUCCUCCCAUUUCUACUUUCCCUCUUCCCCCUCCCAUUUCUGUUUUCCCUCCUCCCCCUCCCAUUUCUUCUCCCUCCUCCCCCUCCCAUUUCUUCUCCCUCCUCCCCCUCCCAUUUCUCCUCUCCCUCUUUCCCCUCCCACUUUUCUCCCCUAUCUUCCCCCUCCCAUUUUUCCUCACUUCUUCCCUCCUCCCACUUCUCCUCCCAUAUCCUAGGCUCUCUCUUCAGGGAUGACAUCAUCGGCUCACACCAGUCUUCCAGGACCACCUUCUGGAUGCCAAGGCUGCUGCUCGAGUACCUGCUGUGCACCUCUACCUCCUGAGCCAAGGAGCACGGAUUCCAGGAACCCACUACCAUACAGAGCAACUCCUUGUGGACCCCCCUGGGAUCAGGACAGCGAGGGACAAGCGACAAAGAGGAUCAUCAGUGGCCAGCUAGUUUCUCUGGGGUUCAAACCUUGAACCAGUGCCCUAGUGAGGGGGCACUGGCCAUGGCCCUUGACCUUUGCUCUGCUUGUGUCUUGAGUCUGAGCCCUUUCCUGUACAUCUGUGCUCGUGUUCAUCUGCUAGUGAACUGGAGUGCUGCCCUCCCCGAGGAGGGUCGUCCCUUGUGACUGAUCAUGCUGUCCUAACAAUGUCCUGAGCAAAAGGGUCCCUUUGGGAACCUCUCAGGAGGGGGACCCGGGUCAGGGGCGACCAGCAUCUUGCUGGCAACUCCGUGGGUGGGGUGGGGUGGGGUGCUUCCUUCUGGAAUGAGCACGUGGCUGACCCCCCCAAGGCAUGUCCCCUCCCCCUCCUCCACCCACCUUCUCGGAGAUGUCCCUUUUGGGGUAGUGGGGACAUUAGGAGCAACCUCCUAGGGUUGUUGUGAGAAUUAAAUGAACUGCAGCAGCCUGAGGCAGGGCUGGGCAGAGACCUCAGCACAUGUUUGUUGAAAGGUUUGCAGGUGGAUCUAGUCCUCCCGUUCAUGGCUCAUGUGUCUCAACCAUUCUCUCGCAGACUCCUGCAGCCCCUAUGCCCAGGGCUCUCCUUGCGCCAGCCCCGGCUUCUCGAGGCCUGUCUACACUCGCUGCUUUCCUUCCUCACCUCCAAUUUCCCCUCCAACCCACUGCUUCCUGACUCGCUCUUCUCCAUCGAACGGCUCUCGCUCAGGCCUGUCGCGUCUUCCUGUGCCAUUUGCUGUUGUGCUCAGGUUCCACGAGCUGCCCAUCUCCACAGAAGAGCAGCUGGCAUUGCCCACCGGCCAUGCCGGCUGAAGAAAAGAAGACUGAGGACCCCAGGAUGCCCAGCGCGAGGACCCCAGGAAGCCCAGCGCGAGGACUCCACCCACGACGCCCAGCGCGAGGACUUCACGCACAACACGUUGCAACCCUCCUGGAUUAGGCCAAAGCCAUCAUCUGGAAUCCUGCGUGGGACCCUGGACACACGGACACAGACACCUGCCCCCAGGACCCUCCAACUGUAAAUCGAUUGGAAGCGCCCUUGUGAGCUGGGGCCUUCAAAGGGCUGAGGAGAAAAUGCAGGCCGAGAGACCAGCUUCUCAAAUAGGCUUCAAGCCUCCAUGACCUGAGCUCACCCCCUGGAAAUGUCUGGAAAACAUAAUGGGCAGGUUUUCUGUCUUCAAAGUUUCCAUCAAAACCUCUUCAAGUUCUUUAUUGUUUAGGACUGAGACACUUGGGGACAGUAAUGGGGACUUUCUUUUGUAUCUGUCUUGAAAGGCCAAAAUAUUUUUAUAUUGCUGUAGACAAAGCCACCUAUUUACAAAUGGACUCUGUUCGGUCGUUUCCCACCAGGAAGACCGUACUAUGUUUGUGUCUCUAUGUAUUCUGGGGUCUUGAAACAGGUUUCUCAUGGGGAUGGCCAUUCACUAGAGCCCAGAGGGGCAGAAGGGGAAGUGUCUACCCUGCCAAGGGGGUCUGGGGAAGGAGGGGGGCUAGUCUCAGAUUUGCUCCUUGUAUGUCUAGGGUAAACCCUGGGAGAAUCUGGUGGUAAAAGAACAUAUGCUGUGUUUGCCCCACAUCUGCCAUUUGUGUGUGUUUCUGGGCUACGGGUUUGCACACUUUGGUGGUUAACAUGGUGGGAGGAAGUAAGAAGGGCCAAGAGGGCACGGGUGCUCUGGUUUUCCUGCUGGGAGGCUGUUUCACUGGUGUGUGUUACAUCACAUAAUGCAUGUUUAGCUGGGUGAGUGACAACAGUAUGAAGGGACAGAGAAACAAAUAGGUGUAGAAAGAGAGUCACAGAGCACACAGUCACCAUUCUGUGCCCAGGCGUUCAUUAAAUGUUCAAUAGAAUGCUGAGCUCUGAUAGACAGAGCGGGCCACGGACACACUGGUAUUGGGUCAUCAUGGACCUAAGGAGUUUUUUUAAUUGAAGAAGGAAUCUUACAUAACAGAAGAAAGAAUAAGAAGAGCUGUCAAAACGAGCUCUGAGGUUUUUGAAGCCCCUUAAUAUAAACAGACAGACAAUGGCGUGAUCAGGAAAGGGAGAAAACAAAUAAACAAACAAACAAGAUGCUUACAGAAAUACGAGAGGACGUGUGAGCAUGCAAAGAGAACCCAGCUAGGUUAGUAUCGGGGUGCUGGUGGAUCGUUAAUCCUGUCUGGGUACCCCAGCUCCAAGGGGAUGAGAGGCAGCAAGUGAGAGGACACAUAGGAAACUGUAACAAGACAGAGGCGAGCAGAUGGGGAGCUUCAGCGGAGUGUUAAGCUAGGCUUCGCAAUCUGACCACUUAACUCUCCCAGCAAAGAAAAGAAAGGCUUAAAUACUAAAAAGAAGGAAAGCUGGAAGAAAGGAUGGUAGAUGUGAAAGGCAUAGAGGAUAGAAAGCAAUAGGGAGUGGAGUGCAGGUGCUGUGGAGAGACGCUUGCAGGUGACUCAAUUCACCAGCCUGUGCAGCUGAGAAAGACAGCCAGUGACAAAGGAGAAGAAGAAAGGUAACAAUACACUCACAAAUAGGUAGAUGAAUGUAGCUGGAAGACGGGGCCUGGCUAGGGACGGGAUGAGAGGCUGUGUCAGCAGACUGGUUAAUUCCCAUCUGUGCUUCUGAGAUGGACAAUGACCCACCCGACCAAGAGACCUUUCAGGCAUCAAUAUGUCAGGGAGGGCUUCAAUGGGGCAAUGGAGGCGAGGCCCAUUAAUAGCAGAUUAUGAUGUAUCCAAUUAGGUGCACCUGCCCUCUGGAAGUGCAGAAACCAGUAUUGAAAUGGAAAGAAAGACUGAAUGGAAGUCCGAGAGUACAAAUGAAUGGAUGGGAAAAAAGAUUUGCAUUCGCUCUUAGGGGGAGGGUGCUGCUGAGCCCCAGGGUCAUCUGAUCUCCCGGAGAAUAAAAGGGUGAGGGAGUGAUAGAGAGUAACAAUAAGAUGGAGAAGAAAUGAAAAGGAGUACAGAGAGAAUAAGUGGGGACAAUGAAGUCUAGGAGCGCGGCUUGUUUAACACAAGUCAUCCAUAUUAAUUCAAAAUUGAGGCCCUGGGAUGGGAUGGGCUGUGUCCAAGGGAUGAAGCUGUUGCCUAGCAUGUGCCAAGUUCUGGGUUCCAUCUCCGCCUGGCAAGACAAACACAGGAAACAAAAUUAUAGCCCAGAGGUUGUAAAUGUUGUUUUUGAUGGUUUUGGGACAAAGAGCUAGAUCGGUUGGAAGAUAGAGAAAUAGGAAGAGGUGGGAAAGAGAUGAGCACAAGAGGAAGCAGCAGUUCUUAAGAUAAGUGUUUAAAUAUGGUGAAUGCGUAGCUCUUGGGUGUGUCAAGAUGAAAAUAACGAAAAGAAACAAGUUUAGGGAUGACGGCACAGGGAUGAGCGGAAGCGGUGACUUUAGUUAAUCACCGUGGCCAACUCAAGCCCUGUUGGGGAUUUAAAAAAAGGUACAAAGGCGAUAAAGGAAGACACAUGCAAUACGGAAGAGAGAGACAGGACAGAUAGACACAGCGAAAAGGCUGAGGACAUGCCUGAGAGGGUCGCGAAGGGAUGAGAGAGAGAACAGCGAGAAUUCUGCUUAAUUCAAAACCGGGCUCCUGAGAUAGCUAAAUAUCUCCUGAGCCCAAACACCAGCACAGGAGAUUAAAUAACAAAAGAGCUGCAGGCAGACCCAAGUGGAGAAGGCUUGGGACCCUCAGAUCAGGCUUCAACUAAAUCUGUGCAUCUGAGGUCCAUAAAUAAAAGAAUAAAUAUUGAAAUAAAGGAGUGACAGAAAGGAUGAAUGAGCACACAUGACUGAAUUAGAAAUGGAAAUGGCUAGAGCAGCCAGUAAGGAGUGGCCCAUGGGACUUCUGCUCAUCUUAUUCUGGGCACCUGAGGUCCCUUCGUGAGAAGAUGCAGGGAGAAGAGGGGAAGGGAAAGGCAUGAGAGCAAAUGAAAGAGAGGCGAGGAGAGGAAAUGAGAAAGUGGCAGAGAGGGGAAGCGAUCGGUGGGUGCCUCGGAAGAGGAAUGUCCACGAGGAUUAAUAACGAGGCUCUCAUUAAUCCUAAAGAUCGAUGAGGUAAUCCAGACCCAGGUUCUUAAGGGGAAGGAGAAUGG